UUUCCUAAGAUCUGUGCACGUUUUAUUAUUUAAUUAGGUAAAUAUUAAUUGGCAAUAUUCGAAUCUGACAGCACGCGUGCAAUCUGUACAUGUUUUACGAUCAGUCAUGAUAUUUCUUUCCUGGUACAUGAUAUUUAAGCCUGUAAAUUUUUAAUCUUGCCACGUGUUGGUAUUGUGCAAGACGGAUUUCUUAAUCGUUAGAAUUGUGCGAGAUAUAAUAGAACAUACUUACAAAAUGUUGGUGUUGUUAUGCCUGAUAGCUACUGCCCUACCUUUAACUCUUGUGGAAGGUGCGAAUUGCUGGGCGGCAUCGACAAGCCCUGGGAAUGAAUGUCUCUUAGGUACAGUUGUAAACGGAGGCAGAGAUAGAACGAUCACCUAUGAAGUCACCAUUAAAUAUUCUUCGCAGAUUUGUUGUCAAGCCCUAAGCUGCCCGACCGCAGGAUGUCAGUUUGAGGAGAUGGGGUGUGGUAACACGGUAAUCACAUUGCCUUGGGAGUCCACAAAUAAACAGCCUGUCAUGAGAUGCCACGCCCCUGAUGGCGCUUCCUAUGAAUAUACAGCGAAAUUAGUACUAGUCGAAGGCCAACAACCGGACCCUUCUUUAACCAUUUUCACGAUAUCUCCAGUAAUUUUUAUGCACGAACUUGAAAGUUCAACUGAAUAAAGUUAGGCCAUCCUCCAAA
rnacentral:lncRNA from 1 species